GUCAAAAUUAAUUAAAGGAACUCGUUUGUUAAUCGACAAUACUCGUUAUUCUUCACUUUUUUACAAGCUUAUAUACCGCCGUCAAAAUUGUUAUUAAAAUAAUAAUUUCAUCUACCCAACUAAUGUCAGGUCAAGGUAUAGCCAAUAAAAAAGAUCAAAUAAGUUACUAUAAAACCUAUUUAUAGAAUUAAACCAAACUCACAUAAAAAAGGAUUUAAUAUUAAUACUUCAAUACUAAUUUAGUAUGAACUAAUAUUAACC
rnacentral:rRNA from 1 species